rnacentral:rRNA from 1 species
AUGAACGCUAGCUACAGGCUUAACACAUGCAAGUCGAGGGGAAACGAUAUUGGAAGCUUGCUUCCGAUAGGCGUCGACCGGCGCACGGGUGAGUAACGCGUAUCCAACCUGCCCAUCACUUGGGGAUAACCUUGCGAAAGUAAGACUAAUACCCAAUGACGUCUCUAGAAGACAUCUGAAAGAGAUUAAAGAUUUAUCGGUGAUGGAUGGGGAUGCGUCUGAUUAGCUUGUUGGCGGGGUAACGGCCCACCAAGGCGACGAUCAGUAGGGGUUCUGAGAGGAAGGUCCCCCACAUUGGAACUGAGACACGGUCCAAACUCCUACGGGAGGCAGCAGUGAGGAAUAUUGGUCAAUGGGCGAGAGCCUGAACCAGCCAAGUAGCGUGCAGGAAGACGGCCCUAUGGGUUGUAAACUGCUUUUAUAAGGGAAUAAAGUGAGUCUCGUGAGACUUUUUGCAUGUACCUUAUGAAUAAGGACCGGCUAAUUCCGUGCCAGCAGCCGCGGUAAUACGGAAGGUCCGGGCGUUAUCCGGAUUUAUUGGGUUUAAAGGGAGCGUAGGCCGGAGAUUAAGCGUGUUGUGAAAUGUAGACGCUCAACGUCUGCACUGCAGCGCGAACUGGUUUCCUUGAGUACGCACAAAGUGGGCGGAAUUCGUGGUGUAGCGGUGAAAUGCUUAGAUAUCACGAAGAACUCCGAUUGCGAAGGCAGCUCACUGGAGCGCAACUGACGCUGAAGCUCGAAAGUGCGGGUAUCGAACAGGAUUAGAUACCCUGGUAGUCCACGCCGUAAACGAUGGUCACUAAGUGUCGGGGGUCAAACCCCGGUGCUGCAGUCAACGCAAUAAGUGACCCGCCUGAGUAGUACGUUCGCAAGAAUGAAACUCAAAGGAAUUGACGGGGGCCCGCACAAGCGGUGGAGCAUGUGGUUUAAUUCGAAGCAACGCGAAGAACCUUACCAGGUCUUGACAUCGAUCUAAAAGGGAUGGAGACAUCCUCAUAGCUAUAGAGAAGACAGGUGGUGCAUGGUUGUCGUCAGCUCGUGCCGUGAGGUGUCGGCUUAAGUGCCAUAACGAGCGCAACCCCUCUCCUUAGUUGCCAUCAGGUGAAGCUGGGCACUCUGGGGACACUGCCACCGUAAGGUGUGAGGAAGGUGGGGAUGACGUCAAAUCAGCACGGCCCUUACGUCCGGGGCUACACACGUGUUACAAUGGCAGGUACAGAGAGACGGUUGUACGCAAGUACGAUCAAAUCCUUAAAGCCUGUCUCAGUUCGGACUGGGGUCUGCAACCCGACCCCACGAAGCUGGAUUCGCUAGUAAUCGCGCAUCAGCCAUGGCGCGGUGAAUACGUUCCCGGGCCUUGUACACACCGCCCGUCAAGCCAUGAAAGCCGGGGGCGCCUAAAGUCCGUGACCGUAAGGAGCGGCCUAGGGCGAAACUGGUAAUUGGGGCU